UACAGAGGUCUCAAGCGUUGUUCGGAUUCAUUGGGCGUAAAGGGUGCGUAGGUGGCGCUGUAAGUCGGGUGUGAAAUUUCGGAGCUUAACUCCGAAACUGCAUUCGAUACUGCGGUGCUUGAGGACUGGAGAGGAGACUGGAAUUUACGGUGUAGCGGUGAAAUGCGUAGAUAUCGUAAGGAAGACCAGUGGCGAAGGCGGGUCUCUGGACAGUUCCUGACGCUGAGGCACGAAGGUCAGGGGAGCAAAACGGG
rnacentral:rRNA from 1 species